GGGCGUGAAACCGCUUAGAAUAAAACGGACGGAGCCGUCAGGAGCUUUCGAGACUCAGUCGACUUAGUAAGCGAAAGUGCGCGCGUUCGGAGAGCAUAAAUAAGUCUCCGUCGUCGUAUCUAGUAUGCUGAUAGUCGGCGCAUUUCUCGAGAGUAAGCAUCGCAACCGAUACGAAAGGCUAGCGAGGCGUUCGGAUUGAGGUCUAAUAUCUUCGGUUAAACGGAGACGUUAGUUGCCAGUCCGUUCGCGCUUUAAUCGCUAGAUCGCAGUAUGUAUCGAGCGCCAAUAAAAAAUACGUUGACCAUAAAGGUUCGUCCGAGCGACGGAUAGUCGGUUAGUUCCCAAAUGGUUGGUUACCUGCUCGCAGGUGCUAGCUAACUUAAUCGACUCUAGAAAUCGUCGGCGACACAUUAACGUAUAGGCGUUAGCGGUGUCAGCGUCGGUCACCCGUCCGACCCGUCUUGAAACACGGACCAAGGAGUCUAACAUAUGCGCGAGUCAAUAGGUGGAAAACCUAAAGGCGCAAUAAA
rnacentral:rRNA from 1 species